GACGAACGCUGGCGGCGUGCUUAACACAUGCAAGUCGAGCGGUAAGGCCCUUUCGGGGGUACACGAGCGGCGAACGGGUGAGUAACACGUGGGUGACCUGCCCUCAGCUCUGGGAUAAGCCCGGGAAACUGGGUCUAAUACCGGAUAUGACUCCAUGACGCAUGUUGUGGGGUGGAAAGCCUUGUGCGGCUGAGGAUGGGCCCGCGGCCUAUCAGCUUGUUGGUGGGGUGAUGGCCACCAAGGCGACGACGGGUAGCCGGCCUGAGAGGGCGACCGGCCACACUGGGACUGAGAUACGGCCCAGACUCCUACGGGAGGCAGCAGUGGGGAAUCUUGCGCAAUGGGCGAAAGCCUGACGCAGCGACGCCGCGUGA
rnacentral:rRNA from 1 species